rnacentral:rRNA from 1 species
UACGUAGGGCGCGAGCGUUGUCCGGAAUUAUUGGGCGUAAAGAGCUCGUAGGCGGCCUGUUGCGUCCGCUGUGAAAUCCCAGGGCUCAACCCUGGGCGUGCAGUGGAUACGGGCAGGCUGGAGGCAGGCAGGGGGAGACUGGAAUUCCUGGUGUAGCGGUGAAAUGCGCAGAUAUCAGGAGGAACACCGGUGGCGAAGGCGGCUCACUGGACCGGUACUGACGCUGAGGCGCGAAAGCGUGGGGAGCAAACGGG